GAGGCUAAAAAAUUUUAAGAAUAAACUAGGAUUAGAUACCCUAUUAUUUUAAAAUAUAAAUAAUGAUAUUAGAUUAUUAUAAGUUAAUUACUUUAAAUUUAAAAAAUUUGGCGGUGGUUUAGUCUGUUCAGAGGAACCUGUUUUUAAAUCGAUACACCACGUAAAAUUUUACUUAUUUUUAUAGUUUGUAUACCAUCAUUGUUAGAUAAUUUUUAAAAAAUAAAUAAAUUAUUGUAAGGAGUUUAACUGAAAAAAUUAGAUCAAGGUGCAGCUUAUAAAUAAGUUAAAAUGGGUUACAAUGAAUUAUAUUUAUACGAAAUAGUAUUAAUA
rnacentral:rRNA from 1 species